rnacentral:rRNA from 1 species
UACGUAGGGGGGCAAGCGUUGUCCGGAUUUAUUGGGCGUAAAGAGCGUGUAGGCGGCCAUACAGGUCAGCUGUGAAAACUCGAGGCUCAACCUCGAGACGUCGGUUGAAACCGUAUGGCUAGAGUCCGGAAGAGGAGAGUGGAAUUCCCGGUGUAGCGGUGAAAUGCGCAGAUAUCGGGAAGAACACCCGUGGCGAAGGCGGCUCUCUGGGACGGUACUGACGCUGAGGAGCGAAAGCGUGGGGAGCGAACAGG